ensembl:snRNA Gm26072 U6 spliceosomal RNA
AUGAUUGUUUUGGAAGCUCAUAUACUAAAAUUGGAACGAUACAGAGAAGUUUAUCAUGGCCCCUAGGGAAGGAAGAUAGGAAUUUGUAAAGCAUUCCAUAUAUGU